AAACGGUUAACGUAACUGCGCGUACGACCGUCGAAUGGCAAAGAUAUUCAAGCUGAGAAUCGUUUUCAGAUGUUACAAACAGCUGUGUUGACUUUCAAGGAGAAACCAUUCGACAUGAUCUUACGUUUGAGCCGGGACCUUCGGUUUGCAGUUUCUGCACCUGCUAUAAUUCGAGGCUGAAGUGGUGCCAGUCGAUCGUAUGCAACCCGCCCGUAGAUCUUCCUUGUUGUUACGCCGCCUAAAACAUCUGCACGCCAGCCCGCGCCAGCUCGCACCACCGGACAACAACCAGCCUGCGUAACGUCACUUCGACCCUCAAUAAACCUAAGGACCCACCAUAACUUUCACUUCCCUUCGGUUUUUAGAGAGGUCCUUGGGUUUAUUAGACGUAC